rnacentral:rRNA from 1 species
GACAGAGGGUGCAAACGUUGUUCGGAAUUACUGGGCGUAAAGCGCGUGUAGGCUGCUCGGAAAGUCGGAUGUGAAAGCCCUGGGCUCAACCUAGGAAGUGCAUUCGAAACUUCCGAGCUGGAGUGCUGGAGAGGAAGGCGGAAUUCUCGGUGUAGAGGUGAAAUUCGUAGAUAUCGAGAGGAACACCAGAGGUGAAGACGGGUUGCUGGGCCGACACUGACGCUGACAGCGCGAAAGCCAGGGGAGCAAACGGG